AUUGAACGCUGGCGGCAUGCCUUACACAUGCAAGUCGAACGGCAGCGGGCCCUUCGGGGUGCCGGCGAGUGGCGAACGGGUGAGUAAUGCAUCGGAACGUACCCGGGAGAGGGGGAUAACCGGCCGAAAGGCUGGCUAAUACCGCAUGAACUCGGAAGAGCAAAGCGGGGGACCUUCGGGCCUCGCGCUCUCGGAGCGGCCGAUGUCCGAUUAGGCUAGUUGGUGGGGUAAAGGCCCACCAAGGCGACGAUCGGUAGCGGGUCUGAGAGGACGAUCCGCCACACUGGGACUGAGACACGGCCCAGACUCCUACGGGAGGCAGCAGUGGGGAAUCUUGGACAAUGGGCGCAAGCCUGAUCCAGCAAUGCCGCGUGGGUGAGGAAGGCCUUCGGGUUGUAAAGCCCUUUCGGCGGGGAAGAAAUCGGUCAGGCGAAUAGGCUGGCCGGAUGACGGUACCCGCAGAAGAAGCACCGGCUAACUACGUG
rnacentral:rRNA from 1 species